AACGCACAUUGCGCCCUCUGGUAUUCCGGGGGGCAUGCCUGUUCGAGCGUCAUUACAACCCUCAAGCUCAGCUUGGUAUUGGGUGCCAUCGCCGUUAGCGGGGGUGCACCUAAAAGUUAGCGGCGAUACGGCCGGUGAUCGAGCGUAGUAAAAUUUAUUUUCGCUUAAGAGCCACCGCGACGUAGCUGCCGGACAACUAAAUUUUUUUUUCAAUGGUUGACCUCGGAUCAGGUAGGGAUACCCGCUGAACUUAA
rnacentral:misc_RNA from 1 species